CACGUAGGCACCAAGCGUUGUCCGGAUUUAUUGGGCGUAAAGAGCUCGUAGGCGGUUCAGUAAGUCGGGUGUGAAAACUUUGGGCUUAACCCAAAGCGUGCAUCCGAUACUGCGUGGCUAGAGGUAGGUAGGGGAGAUCGGAAUUCCUGGUGUAGCGGUGAAAUGCGCAGAUAUCAGGAAGAACACCCGUGGCGAAAGCGGCUCUCUGGAACGGUACUGACGCUGAGACGCGAAAGCGUGGGGAGCGAACAGG
rnacentral:rRNA from 1 species